rnacentral:rRNA from 1 species
CCUACGUGCGGCAGCAGUGAGGAAUAUUGGUCAAUGGGCGGAAGCCUGAACCAGCCAAGUAGCGUGCAGGAUGACGGCCCUAAGGGUUGUAAACUGCUUUUAUACGGGAAUAAAGCGCCUUACGUGUAGGGCUUUUCAUGUACCGUAUGAAUAAGGACCGGCUAAAUCCGUGCCAGCAGCCGCGGUAUUACGGAUGGUCCGGUGUUUAUCCGGAUUUAUUGGGUUUAAAGGGUGCGCAGGUGGCUUGUUAAGCCAGCGGUAAAAGCCCGGGGCUCAACCCCGGCGAGCCGUUGAAACUGGCGGGCUGGAGUUGGAGAGAAGUACGCGGAAUGCGCGGUGUAGCGGUGAAAUGCUUAGAUAUCGCGCAGAACCCCGAUUGCGAAGGCAGCGUACCGGCUCCACACUGACGCUGAGGCACGAAAGCGUGGGUAUCGAACAGGAUUAGAUACCCGAGUAGUC